rnacentral:rRNA from 1 species
UGCCAGCAGCCGCGGUAAUACGAAGGGGGCUAGCGUUGUUCGGAAUUACUGGGCGUAAAGCGCGCGCAGGCGGCCAUUCAAGUCAGGGGUGAAAGCCCGGAGCUCAACUCCGGAAUUGCUCUUGAAACUGGGUGGCUCGAGUACGGAAGAGGUGAGUGGAAUUCCCAGUGUAGAGGUGAAAUUCGUAGAUAUUGGGAAGAACACCGGUGGCGAAGGCGGCUCACUGGUCCGUUACUGACGCUCAUGCGCGACAGCGUGGGGAUCAAACAGGAUUAGAUACCCUGGUAGUCCACGCCGUAAACGAUGGAUGCUAGCCGUUGGGCAGCUUGCUGUUCAGUGGCGCAGCUAACGCAUUAAGCAUCCCGCCUGGGGAGUACGGCCGCAAGGUUGAAACUCAAAGGAAUUGACGGGGGCCCGCACAAG